rnacentral:lncRNA from 1 species
AGAUUGAGGCUGUGGGCUUGACCUCCCUCCUUUGAGCCAGGUGGGAGAUGGCCCCGGAUUGCCGGCCCAAACUGGCGGCCCAGAAAGCGCAGGAGGCGCCCGGUGACUCCUUCCCCGCGGCGCGCCAAGCGGGCCGAACUCCGCGGCUGAGUCGCGCGGCUCCAGUCACUGCGCGCGGGCUCGGGCUCCGGCCUCGGAGAGCGGUAAACGGAAUCGGUUUCCCACGGUUUCCCCCUUCAUCCCAGGGCCUUUCAAAAGCCGCUCACGAAUUCCGUCGUCCAGUUUGCGCGGAUUCUGAGCCGCGCAUUCACCCAGUGCCACCUGGAAAGGGGACCCUCGAGCCUCCCGCAUCCCCGGGCCUCCAGCCCGUGCACACGGGGAGCAACUUCGUUCCCCUGAGCGCCCUGGCCCCACGACGCGGGCAGAGCUCCGCCCGGUAAAGGUGGCACUGUGGUCGCUCCGGAAUGCUGCCCGCGUGGACGCGGCCGCCGCCUUCUGCUCCCUGUUCCGGCUGCGCGCGGGCAGAGCCCUGGAAACAACGAAAACGGCGAGCAGCGUUGCUUUCCGGAUGUCGGAGUCCCGGAAGCCUCUGGGUGCGAGCCGGUCCUCCGCGUCCCCAGACGUCCCAGGGCCGAGCUCACCGCCGGGCCGCCGACGUGACCCCGGAGGAGGACCUGCGGGGAGAUGCUUCUCCGAGCCUCAGUUUCCCCACCUGUGCAACGGGGCCAUAAGUUCCUGCGCCCCUCCCAGGGUUGAUAUGGGAUUGGCGGGGAGAGAGGACCUGGAAAACGCCCGACGGGGCCCAGUUCUGCCCACCCUUUGGGGCCAGGUUUGCGCCGGUGGGGUUCAGCUGUCGUGCACAGACUCGAAGGGGCCCAGGUUGCGCCUAGCGAUCGUCGUCCUCCCUCCAUCUCCUCCAUCUCCCCCCGCCGCCCUCACCCCGGAACUUCCCUCUCCGCGGGCGCAGUGGUGGAGGUGUGAGGGUCCCGCUUGGCGCCCAGGCGUCUCUGCUCAGCCUCUGGCCGGGGUGUUGCUCGCCCUGGGCGGCUCUCUCAGGUUCCUUUGA